UACGUAGGGUGCGAGCGUUGUCCGGAAUUAUUGGGCGUAAAGAGCUCGUAGGCGGUUUGUCGCGUCUGCUGUGAAAACUGGAGGCUCAACCUCCAGCCUGCAGUGGGUACGGGCAGACUAGAGUGCGGUAGGGGAGAUUGGAAUUCCUGGUGUAGCGGUGGAAUGCGCAGAUAUCAGGAGGAACACCGAUGGCGAAGGCAGAUCUCUGGGCCGUAACUGACGCUGAGGAGCGAAAAGCAUGGGGGAGCGAACAGG
rnacentral:rRNA from 1 species